UACAGAGGUCUCGAGCGUUGUUCGGAUUCAUUGGGCGUAAAGGGCGCGUAGGCGGCGGGGUAAGUCUGGUGUGAAAUCUCGGAGCUCAACUCCGAAAUUGCACUGGAUACUGCUCUGCUAGAGGGCUGGAGAGGAGAUCGGAAUUCACGGUGUAGCGGUGAAAUGCGUAGAUAUCCGGAAGGAACACCGGUGGCGAAGGCGGUCUGCUGGGCAGUUGCUGACACUGGAGGCGCGACAGCGUGGGGAGCAAACAGG
rnacentral:rRNA from 1 species